rnacentral:lncRNA from 1 species
AUGAAUGAUAAGAAACUUCUCCUUCCCGUACCUCCGCUGCAGGAGAACAAACCACAGUUUCAGAGCCCUGUCAUAAGGCCAAAAGGUCCCCCACCGCCUGUUCCUUCUAUCAAACCAGUCUCUUCCCACAGAGAAGAGAUUUUUGCACCAGAGAGAAAACCUGCUCAUUUCCCAGUUCCCAAAGGCAAACCUCCACCUCCACCAAAGGCUUUAAAACCUCCAGUUAAUCCCAGAGUAUGAGGCUUCUGAAGUAGGGCUGAUCGAGACGCCUGAAAUUUUCAGGGACAGUUUUGUCCCUUGAUUCCUCCACUUUUGGCAAAACCCACCAAGAUAGUCUUCCCGUUCUCUUUAAGAAAAGAACAACUAACUGACAGCUGCUUUGAAAGAAAAAGCUGGUUUUCAAACAGCAAGGAACUCUUUGGUGGUGACAUCAAGCUGCUGCUCAAAAGGAAAACAAAGCAGAAUCGCUACUUGCACUGAGGCGUAGACUGGGAGUAAGUUCUGAAAGCUGCUUAACACAUCCUAACUCCUAGGCCACCACCGUAAGAUGUGGCUGCACUGGGAUGCCCUGCAUCUGCUCUGCUUUUCUGGGUGCAGACCCGAGAAGAUCGGGG